GUUAUAUGGUCAAGUGAAGAAGCGCAUACGGUGGAUGCCUUGGCAGUCAGAGGCGAUGAAAGACGUGGUAGCCUGCGAAAAGCUUCGGGGAGUCGGCAAACAGACUGUGAUCCGGAGAUAUCUGAAUGGGGGAACCCAGCCAUCAUAAGAUGGUUAUCUUGUACUGAAUACAUAGGUGCAAGAGGCGAACCAGGGGAACUGAAACAUCUAAGUACCCUGAGGAAAAGAAAUCAACCGAGAUUCCCUUAGUAGUGGCGAGCGAACGGGGACCAGCCCUUAAGUUGUAUUGAGAUUAGCGGAACGUUCUGGAAAGGACGGCCAUAGUGGGUGAUAGCCCUGUACGCGAAAAUCCCUUUGCAAUGAAAUCGAGUAGGACGGGGCACGAGAAACCUUGUCUGAAUAUGGGGGGACCAUCCUCCAAGGCUAAAUACUACUGACUGACCGAUAGUGAACCAGUACCGUGAGGGAAAGGCGAAAAGAACCGCGGAGAGCGGAGUGAAAUAGAUCCUGAAACCGUAUGCGUACAAGCAGUGGGAGCCCACUUUGUUGGGUGACUGCGUACCUUUUGUAUAAUGGGUCAGCGACUUAUUUUCAGUGGCGAGCUUAACCGAAUAGGGGAGGCGUAGCGAAAGCGAGUCUUAAUAGGGCGUCUAGUCGCUGGGAAUAGACCCGAAACCGGGCGAUCUAUCCAUGGGCAGGUUGAAGGUUGGGUAACACUAACUGGAGGACCGAACCGACUACCGUUGAAAAGUUAGCGGAUGACCUGUGGAUCGGAGUGAAAGGCUAAUCAAGCUCGGAGAUAGCUGGUUCUCCUCGAAAGCUAUUUAGGUAGCGCCUCAUGUAUCACUGUAGGGGGUAGAGCACUGUUUCGGCUAGGGGGUCAUCCCGACUUACCAAACCGAUGCAAACUCCGAAUACCUACAAGUGCCGAGCAUGGGAGACACACGGCGGGUGCUAACGUCCGUCGUGAAAAGGGAAACAACCCAGACCGUCAGCUAAGGUCCCAAAGUCAUGGUUAAGUGGGAAACGAUGUGGGAAGGCUUAGACAGCUAGGAGGUUGGCUUAGAAGCAGCCACCCUUUAAAGAAAGCGUAAUAGCUCACUAGUCGAGUCGGCCUGCGCGGAAGAUGUAACGGGGCUCAAACCAUGCACCGAAGCUACGGGUAUCAUCUUUUGAUGAUGCGGUAGAGGAGCGUUCUGUAAGCCUGUGAAGGUGAGUUGAGAAGCUUGCUGGAGGUAUCAGAAGUGCGAAUGCUGACAUGAGUAACGACAAUGGGUGUGAAAAACACCCACGCCGAAAGACCAAGGUUUCCUGCGCAACGUUAAUCGACGCAGGGUUAGUCGGUCCCUAAGGCGAGGCUGAAAAGCGUAGUCGAUGGAAAACAGGUUAAUAUUCCUGUACUUCUGGUUAUUGCGAUGGAGGGACGGAGAAGGCUAGGCCAGCCUGGCGUUGGUAGUCCAGGUUUAAGGUGGUAGGCUGAGAUCUUAGGUAAAUCCGGGAUCUUAAGGCCGAGAGCUGAUGACGAGUGUUCUUUUAGAACA
rnacentral:rRNA from 1 species